UCGUACAAAAUGUGUGAGGCAUGCGAGGGCUGUUGCUGACUCAAAGUCGUGCACGCCAGAGUGUGUCCUCUCACAUAACCAUCCAUCUCACCCUUUGUGCACCACCGCGUGGGUCCCCCUUUUCGGGAGGGCUCGCGUUUUCACACAAAACUCGAUACAGUGUAGAAUGUUUACUUUUGCGGUCGCACGCAAUCAAUA
rnacentral:misc_RNA from 1 species